UUUUGAUAAGUGAAUGUUUAGCAUAGGUGGUUGUUAGGGUGGUUGCUAGGGUCUUGAUAAGUGAAGGAUUUAGUAUCCUAAAUGGUUGCUAGCGUGCAUAUAAGUGAUUGCUAUAGUAUCCCAGGUGGUUGCUAGGGUGCAGAUAAGUGAUUGCUAUAGUAUCCCAGGUGGUUGCUAGGGUGCAGAUAAGUGAUUGCUAUAGUAUCCCAGGUGGUUGCUAGGGUGCAGAUAAGUGAUUGCUAUAGUAUCCCAGGUGGUUGCUAGGGUGCAGAUAAGUGAUUGCUAUAGUAUCCCAGGUGGUUGCUAGGGUGCAGAUAAGUGAUUGCUAUAGUAUCCCAGGUGGUUGCUAGGGUGCAGAUAAGUGAUUGCUAUAGUAUCCCAGGUGGUUGCUAG